rnacentral:rRNA from 1 species
AUUGAACGCUGGCGGCAUGCUUUACACAUGCAAGUCGAACGGUAACAGGCCUUCGGGUGCUGACGAGUGGCGAACGGGUGAGUAAUGCAUCGGAACGUACCCAGAGGUGGGGGAUAACGCAGCGAAAGCUGUGCUAAUACCGCAUGUGAUCUGAGGAUGAAAGCGGGGGACCGAGCAGCAAUGUUUGGCCUCGCGCCUUUGGAGCGGCCGAUGUCGGAUUAGCUAGUUGGUGGGGUAAAGGCCUACCAAGGCGACGAUCCGUAGCUGGUCUGAGAGGACGAGCAGCCACACUGGGAAUGAGACACGGCCCAGACUCCUACGGGAGGCAGCGGUGGGGAAUUGUGGACAAUGGGCGCAAGCCUGAUCCAGCAAUGCCGCGUGCGGGAAGAAGGCCUUCGGGUUGUAAACCGCUUUUGGCAGGAACGAAACGGUGUCCGCUAAUACCGGGCGCUAAUGACGGUACCUUCAGAAUAAGCACCGGCUAACUACGUG